AUGAGGGUCCUCGUUGAAGAUGCCCAUAUCGUGGCACCACCCACACCCACCCAGGCAGCACGCGCACGAGCCGGCUCGACUCGACCCGACGCGACUCGGGCCCAGUCCGUACGACCAGGGCGGCGCGGCCGGCCUAGAACCUCCGUUAAACCCCCUGGCCACCUCGCCGGCGGCCGGCCGCCUCGACCACCCCGUCGGCCGCGAAGCCCCUCGCCGACGCCGGACGGCCGCGUCCUCCCCCCGUCCGCCGGCCGCGCCACCCUGCUCGUUGCCCGCCAACAACGCCGGCCUCCUCGAGUUCCACGACGACCCCGCUCGACUCCGACCACGCCGGCGGCCUCGUCGCGGCCACAUCCGACGGGCGCCAAGUCCGACCGGCCACCUGCUCCUGGCCUCCUGACCACCUCCUGUUCCACGUCCGCUGCCUUCCCCAAGGUCGGAAGACGAGCACGGGUACCUGCCUCGCGGGCACGGCUGGAGAAACCUCUUGAUCUGAUUGCAUCUGGCCAGAACUGCUGGAAUUCCAGAGAUUCGCCCUCCAGCAUCAUGUGGUGCUCGCCUAACCCUGGGCACAAUGAUAAUUUGCACGAGAUUGGAACCAAGCUUCCGCUCCCCUCGCAAAUGGCUACAGAACAUGAGCUACCUCCGUGGGCGGGUGCCCCAAAAUUUGAGUUCCAGCUUUUUAAAAAUGCAACUAAAAUGGCAAGGUCCUAUCAUACGUUGGGAGUCAAUGUGAGAAGGCUUUUGAGGCAGAAAUCUGAUGAAGGAGGUGCACAGUAUGUGCGGGAUUUAAAAAUUUCUGAGUCCCUUGGUUUUCAGCAUGAAAUUCCCGAGUUGCCAAUACAACCUAGCUAUUUCAUUGUUGCAAUGGUUCCACCUCCGGAUGUAGAAGAUGGCACACUUUUGGAUAGGGAGGUUGAGUUACUAUUCGCUGCUGACUCGAUGUAUCACCUUGGUUUCUCAGCAAAAAGUGUUUGCAAUUACUCUGAGAAGUGCAGACAAGGAAGAGAAAAAUUUGAUGCAGAAUGGCAACGAUCUGAUCCAGAGUUUAGCAAGUACAUAUUAUCAGGAAUUCCCACGUUUGAUGCUCUGUUAAAUUUUGUGAGUCUGUUGUCAAAUAAAAACCACAAGAAAAGUAGGGAAGAGGAAUCUGAAAAGCACAUGAAACAAUCUUUUGGAAAUCUAGAAGAUCGCAAGGAGGGUGGUGGGGAUGAGGAUCCUCCAAGUGAUAAAGAUGGUAAUAAAGAGAGACGUAAGAAGAAAGACACAUCUUCCGCCUGGUUCUUUGAGGCCCCUGUGAUGCCAUUCCAUUGGAUUGAUAGAGGAUCAGACAUAGUAAAGGAGUAUGCAUUUUAUGUGCUGAAACAGAGAUGGUCCUACACAUGUGUGAAACAACUUAUUGAGAGGCUUAUUUCUGCUAAAGCAAUGGAGAAUGACUUCAUUCCUGAUGUUGAUUGUCCCAGCGUGGGUUUUCCGCUGGUUUUGACUUGCUUCAGCAACAAUCUCUUUCGCAGAGAUCCCCUGAAGCUUGCUGAUGAUGGCGGCGAGUUCCAAAGCACUGUCCAAUACAUUGACGCUUUUCUUUUGAUCAUUGGGAACCCUGCUCAAACGGAUUCUCAUAUCUUCACUCUUGGGAGUCCCAACAAUGAUUUUACUGUUAGGCAACUUGCUGAAUUGAUGACAGAGGAAACUGAAUUUUUCGUGCUUAAAGUAGACGAGUCACCCUACAUCUUUGGUCCCAGGGAGGGCGUUCCAUGGGUUUUGGCUUGCUUCAGUGAAUCUUCUCACAGGAUAUACGGUGCCAUCGGAUAUUUUCAGAACCUCCUGCGCAGAGAGACCUGGAAGCUUGCUGAUGGCGGGAAUUGUCAGAGAACUUAUGUUUGCAUCAAGGAAGCCAUUGAAGCUCCUCUUUUGAUGAUUGCACAUGGCCAUGUCCCAGGAGAGCAACCUUUGAUUGCUGUGAGUUCCACACGACUCUAUGGUGAAGGAUACGAUGACAGGAUUCUUGAUGUUACUCUAAUCAUAAAGCAGCUAGUACAUGGCAGUGUCUCAGGAGAACCACCGCUGGAGGAACCUUUGAUUGAGGCGAGCAUGGAGCAGUUCUUGGGCAAAUAUGAUGAUAGCAACGACAAGAGGAUCCCUGGUGUGAUCCCAAACAACAAGAAGCAGCUAGGAGAGUCACCGCUGGAGGAUCCUUUGAUUGAGGUGAGCAUAGAACAGUUUUUGGGCGAAGGAUAUGACGACAGCAACAAGAGGAUUCCUGAUGUGAUGCUGAUCAACAAGCAGCUAGGGUGGAACCCAAACGAUGCCUCUCCAAAGGAACUGCUGGCGACGGCACUGACGACCUUGCAGCACAAGACCAGGCAGACAAGUUGUCGAAAGGCAGAUGUCACAGGCUCCAUCGUCGAGUUACACAACAUGCCGCGAGGUUUCGAUCCAGUCUAUGGAGGUUUGUUCUUAAUGGGAAAAUAUACACCAUUGGCCGGUGUGGUGGCGGCGGUCGGCCUGAUCUGGGAUCCGGUGGUGCUGGCUGCGGGCGGCUGCAUCCUCCAAUGGAGCAUAACUCAGCCCUUCACUCGGCCGCAACUCUUUGCUUGUCAUCGGCUUCAGGUCUCGUCCAUCCGCUUCACACGGCUAUGCCGCAUCACGCAGCAGCAUCUCGUCGCCAUCGGCAUCUCGCCGUACUCGCCAUAUCACACGAUGCUCUGGCAUCUCACCUAUUGCACACUCAAAUGA
rnacentral:rRNA from 1 species